AUAUCCAGAGGACUGAGUGUGUGUUUGUGUGUGUGUGUGUGUGUGUGUGUGUGUGUGUGUGUGGUUCAUCACUGGAGUGUAACAGAGGUUUUUGUACGACGGCUUCAUUGGAAUGUAUCACUGUGGUACACUUUCGGCGGAGGAACUAAACUCACUAUAACCGGUCCCACGGUGAAGCCCUCCGUGUCUCUGCUCCGCCCCUCCUCUCUGCAGCUGUCUGAGGGCUCCGCCUCUCUGCUCUGCCUGCUGUCUGGCUACUCUCCACAGGGGGCGCUGGUCAGCUGGACGGUGGACGGCUCAGAGGUGAAGGAUGGGGUUCUGACCAGUGCAGAAGAAGAGAAGAACGGCCGCUACAGCCGCAGCAGCACCCUGACCCUCAGCAAAGCACUCUGGGAAAAGAGGGAGGAGUUUACCUGCACCGUCACCCACGACAACGCGGUUCAGCCAAUCAGGUUGAGGAAGAGCGAGUGUGAAGGCUAGCAGCUCCAAGAUAGAAGUGAACAUAGAGCUGCUUCCACCUGCAUCUCCAAUAGAGUGUAAAUUCUACACAGUGCUGAUAUUUGUGUCUUUACUCUGGUCAGUGUGCUGUAGCUGUCCCCAUACUUUUGCUGUGCUGAAAUAAAGCUGGAUUUUGGACACUGUGUGUGUUGUAUUGUAAUGAAUGCUGAUGAUCUCUAUAGAGUCGUGUUUUAUCAGUAUCAGUAUCAGUGUAGCUGUGGAAGGAGAGAACAUAUAGAGAUUUAACAAUAAUGAUAUUGAUCCUAAUAUGGAUUCAGAGAACCUCGU